GAGCGCGGGCGCAGCUCCAAGGUCCCUCCCUGGGCCCCGAGAGGCGGCUCCAGCACCUGCGCAGAGGAGAAGCGAGCGUGUGGUCAGGCUUCCGGGGCCGGCGGACCGGCGUCGAGGCCUCGAGAGCCCGGCGUCUGUUUGACCAAAAUCCUACCGCUUCGAAUCCCCACGGAUAUCCCUUAAAGAGCCUUACUUUCAGAAAACACACAUCCCGGCGGAAAUUUGCAAGAUAGAACAUCCCGACGGAGAGCCUCUCCCCUUGGUGGCCUCUCCCUGCCCAAGACACACCCUGUCUGAGAGAACGGCGUCCCCCCGCCCCCACGCUCUGACACACAGACCUCAUCUGCACGGAGAGCUACUAAUCCUGACCCAUGUGUACAACAGAUACAUAGGAUACACUCCGACAGAGAUCCUGGUGCGCACACACUGAUCAGGACACACGGACAUCCUGGCAGAAGUGCUCACCUGAACUCCAGGUUCGGCAGUGGGAACGCAGACACACUUAGAUACUCAGGCCCGCGUGGACCGUUCACAAAGAACACGCAUUUAGCAGAAGAUGCCAGAAUUGUGCUAGUUGCGGGGAGUGCAAGGACAGAAUCCAAGCAGGGGGGACGAGCAUCAUGUGUACAAACAGGGAGACUUUAUUAAUCAUUUAGCAAACAUUUAUGGACUGCUUGGGAUAUGCCAAGCAUUAGGCUAGGCCCUGGGGAAAAAGAGAAAUGCAACGUGGUCUCUCACAUGUCUAAUGAGGAAGACAUCCCAACAAGUAAAUAAUUACAACAGGCACUGUGGUAGAGGUGAGAAGACUUCGUGUCGUGCCCUUCUCCUAUGACAUCAAGCGCAAUCAUCGGUUCAGCUCUCACCUGUCUCUGGGGCAGCACCGUGCUCUGCUGUGGUAGAAGAAGCCUUGGGAGCUAGCAUUGUCUUGUUGUUGCCACUGACAGGCAAGUCCACAGUCACAGGGAGGGACCAGGAUCCCCAGGAGCCAAGGAGGGAAACCCCAUCAGGUUGGCUACGCAGCUGGAGCCAGUAGGAGUUACCAGGCUG